AAGAUAAUCUCAAGUUUACGGCAACAAAGUUUGUAUUUAAUCACGCGUCGAAUUUGUGACGAUGUGAUCCAUUCGAUGUAAACAUCGAGGAUAAGAGGUCGGAGCGGAUCAGUUUGCCGAGAAGAGUCGGAGGCAACAGUUUGAUUUUGAAAUUGCGUGAAGAAAUCUCUGCGAAGUGUGAAAGAAAUGAAUCCCGAUCAGUGUAUUCGGAAGCAAAGUUACAUUUUGCUGGAAUCGAAUGCAAUACGAUCGUAGCAACACUGAGACACACUUGGAAAACCUGAAAAACCUGGAAAACCUGGAAACCCUGGAAAACCUGGAGUUGGAAAAAAACUGAAAAUAUCAGUUUCCUAUCAUGGGAAUUGGAAACGAUUUUUCGAGAUUGCAAGAUUGAAAAAAAAGAGAAGGAAUGAAGUGUGAAAUCGUACCGCAGCGUUCCCGUGGCACACUCUGGAGUCGUGGUUAUAUUUAUCACCAGCUCAGAACGGAGGUGACAGUCAUAGUGAAAUACUGUAAGUCAAACGAUACCAUCAUAUUUAAUCCAGCAUUUCGUAUUUUUGAAUUUGAACUUAAAAAUUGAUACAAACUCAACUCCCUUUUCUAUGUUGCAAUGAAAAGGAGGGUUAUACUGAGUAAGGCAGCUCAACAUUCAAUGAGAGUAAGUGAGUUGCGUGGGGAUAAACAAUCAAUUUUAUUUUGAAGUGCAAAGCAAAUGGCUAGAUUAUCGGUUGGCGACAUCCUCUCCCCUCGGUACAGGACGCGCGUUAGUUACAUAAGAAAUGAAAAAUGUAUUACGUUUUUGUGA